GCCUGGAUGGCUCAGUCAGUGGAGUGUGCAACUCUCGAUCUCAGGGCUGUGGGUUCAGGCCCCACUUUGGGCA
rnacentral:tRNA from 1 species